UCAGAGCCUUCUGAAAUUGAUGGUGGGGUUGUUGUGGUGUUGUCGUUACUAUUGUAGCGCUUGUUGCCAUCGUCAUAACAGUUUGGUUGGUGUGGAAGAAAAUUAAAGCAGCUGAAGCCAGUGGAUCCAACAGUCUAAAUAUGAUUCAACGCCUGAGACUAAAGGCAGUGAUGUAGUCCAGCCAGAACAAG